CCUACGGGGGGCAGCAGUGGGGAAUAUUGCACAAUGGAGGCAACUCUGAUGCAGCGACGCAGCGUGAGUGAAGACGUAUUUCGGGAUGUAAAGCUCUAUCUGCGGGGAAGAAAAUGAAGGUACCUGAUUCAGAAGCCCCGGCUAACUACGUGCCAGCAGCCGCGGUAAUACGGAGGGGGCAAGCGUUAUCCGGAUUUACUGGGUGUUAAGGGAGCGUAGACGGCAGCACAAGUCUGGAGUGAAAUGCCGGGGCUUAACCCCGGAACUGCGUCGGAAACUGUGCAGCUAGAGUGCAGGGGAGGUAAGUGGAAUUCCUGGUGUAGCGGUGAAAUGCGUAGAUAUUAGGAGGAACACCAGUUGCGAAGGCGGCUUACUGGAGUGUAACUGACGUUGAGGCUCGAAGGCGUGGGGAGCGAACAGGAUUAGAUACCCGAGUAGUC
rnacentral:rRNA from 1 species